UACGGAGGGGGCUAGCGUUGUUCGGAAUUACUGGGCGUAAAGCGCACGUAGGCGGCUUUGUAAGUUAGAGGUGAAAGCCCGGGGCUCAACUCCGGAAUUGCCUUUAAAACUGCAUCGCUAGAAUUGUGGAGAGGUAAGUGGAAUUCCGAGUGUAGAGGUGAAAUUCGUAGAUAUUCGCAAGAACACCAGUGGCGAAGGCGGCUCACUGGCCCGAUACUGACGCUGAGGCACGAAAGCGUGGGGAGCAAACAGG
rnacentral:rRNA from 1 species